rnacentral:tRNA from 1 species
AAGAAAUUAGUUAAAUAAUUAAUAACAUUGAGUUGUCAAUUCAAAAUUAUAAAUUUUAUUUCUUU